AUAACACAUGCAAGUCGAACGAUGAAACUUAGAUGAUUUCUUCGGAAUGAACUUAAGUGGAUUAGUGGCGAACGGGUGAGUAACACGUGAGUAACCUGCCUUACACAAGGGGAUAGCCUCUGGAAACGGAGAAUAAUACCCUAUAAAGUCUAAUCAGCCCAUGCUGGAAAGACCAAAGAUUUAUCGGUGUAAGAUGGACUUGCGUCUGAUUAGCUAGUUGGUGAGAUAAAAGCUCACCAAGGCGACGAUCAGUAGCCGGCUUGAGAGAGUGUACGGCCACAUUGGGACUGAGACACGGCCCAAACUCCUACGGGAGGCAGCAGUGGGGAAUUUUGCACAAUGGGGGAAACCCUGAUGCAGCGACGCCGCGUGAUUUAGAAGGCCUUCGGGU
rnacentral:rRNA from 1 species